CAGGACGAACGCUGGCGGCGUGCCUAACACAUGCAAGUCGAGCGAGGAGAUCCUCGGGAUGAUCCUAGCGGCGGACGGGUGAGUAACACGUGGGCAACCUGCCUCAUAGAGAGGAAUAGCCUUCCGAAAGGGAGAUUAAUACCUCAUAACAUUGCAGUUUCGCAUGGAACAGCAAUUAAAGGAGUAAUCCGCUAUGAGAUGGGCCCGCGGCGCAUUAGCUAGUUGGUGAGGUAACGGCUCACCAAGGCGACGAUGCGUAGCCGACCUGAGAGGGUGAUCGGCCACAUUGGGACUGAGACACGGCCCAGACUCCUACGGGAGGCAGCAGUGGGGAAUAUUGCACAAUGGGGGAAACCCUGAUGCCAGCAACGCCGCGUGAGUGAUGACGGCCUUCGGGUUGUAAAGCUCUGUCUUCAGGGACGAUAAUGACGGUACCUGAGGAGGAAGCCACGGCUAACUACGUGCCAGCCGCCGC
rnacentral:rRNA from 1 species